GAUGAACGCUGGCGGCGUGCCUAAUACAUGCAAGUCGAGCGAACAGACGAGGAGCUUGCUCCUCUGACGUUAGCGGCGGACGGGUGAGUAACACGUGGAAAACGUACCUAUAAGACGGGGAAAACUUCGGGAAACCGGAGAUUAUACCGGAUAAUAUAUUGAAGCGCAGGGUUGAAUAGUAAAAGACGGUGUUGGUGGCACGUAUAGAGGGUUACGAGCUGGAUUAGCUAGUAGGGAAGGUAAAGGGUUAUCAAGGCGACGAGGCGUAGCCGAACUGAGAGGGUGAUCGCCCACACUGGAACUGAGACACGGUCCAGACUCCUACGGGAGGCAGCAGUAGGGAAUCUUCCGCAGUGGGCGAAAGCCUGACGGAGCAACGCCGCGUGAGUGAUGAAGGUCUUCGGAUCGUAAAACUCUGUUAUUAGGGAAGAACAAAUGUGUAAGUAACUAUGCACGUCUUGACGGUACCUAAUCAGAAAGCCACGGCUAACUACGUG
rnacentral:rRNA from 1 species